rnacentral:rRNA from 1 species
UACGAAGGGGCUAGCGUUGCUCGGAAUCACUGGGCGUAAAGGGUGCGUAGGCGGUUAUGUAAGACAGGUGUGAAAUCCCCGGGCUUAACCUGGGGAACUGCAUUUGGUGACUGCAUAGCUAGAGUACGGUAGAGGGGGAUGGAAAUUCCGCGUGUAGCAGUGAAAUGCGUAGAUAUGCGGAGGAACACCGAGUGGCGAAGG